ACAAGCAAAACUUAACAGGCUUUGCAGCCUCUGUGGGAAGAAAGCAGAGUUAAUGAUUUGAGUCCAAUGACUCUUCAUGAAGAGCAAUGCAGCCCUGCAGCAGAGGUUUCCAAGCCUCAGGAAAUCUGACAGAUGAAAGGAAGUGAGAACAGUUGAAAUUAAGAACUUGUUUCUUGAAAACAACAGAAUGUACAGCAUGCAUGUGAAUCUCACUUUGUAUUGACAUUCUCGCUGCCAGAUGUCGGGCUCAACGUCAACUGGUGCACUGGUGAUCAUAAAUGUCACUAAAGUAGAAACAUUGUAGAGUGAGAAAGAGGAAGACUGUUCAAGAGAUGGAAAGGUAUAAGAGAGAUGAGUUGGCCUUGAGAGAUACA